AUUGAACGCUGGCGGCAUGCCUUACACAUGCAAGUCGAACGGUAACGGGCCUUCGGGUGCCGACGAGUGGCGAACGGGUGAGUAAUGUAUCGGAACGUACCUUUCAGUGGGGGAUAACGUAGCGAAAGUUACGCUAAUACCGCAUAUUCUGUGUGCAGGAAAGCAGGGGAUCGCAAGACCUUGCGCUGAUUGAGCGGCCGAUAUCAGAUUAGCUAGUUGGUGAGGUAAAGGCUCACCAAGGCGACGAUCUGUAGCGGGUCUGAGAGGAUGAUCCGCCACACUGGAACUGAGACACGGUCCAGACUCCUACGGGAGGCAGCAGUGGGGAAUUUUGGACAAUGGGGGCAACCCUGAUCCAGCCAUGCCGCGUGAGUGAAGAAGGCCUCCGGGUUGUAAAGCUCUUUCGGCCGGGAAGAAAUCGUAUCAGCUAAUACCUGGUGCGGAUGACGGUACCGGCAUAAGAAGCACCGGCUAACUACGUGCCAGCAGCCGCCGCGGUAA
rnacentral:rRNA from 1 species